rnacentral:tRNA from 2 species
UGGGGUGUCGCCAAGCGGUAAGGCACGAGACUUUGACUUUCGCAUUCGCAGGUCCGAAUCCUGCCACCCCAGCCA